rnacentral:rRNA from 1 species
UACAGAGGUCCCAAGCGUUGUUCGGAUUCACUGGGCGUAAAGGGUGCGUAGGCGGUCGGGUAAGUCUGAUGUGAAAUCUCACAGCUUAACUGUGAAACUGCAUUGGAUACUAUUCGGCUUGAGAGUUGGAGGGGGGACUGGAAUUCUUGGUGUAGCAGUGAAAUGCGUAGAUAUCAAGAGGAACACCAGUGGCGAAGGCGAGUCCCUGGACAAACUUCUGACGCUGAGGCACGAAAGCUAGGGGAGCAAACAGG